rnacentral:rRNA from 1 species
UACAGAGGGGGGCAAGCGUUGUUCGGAUUUACUGGGCGUAAAGAGCUCGUAGGCGGCUCGUUGCGUCGGCUGUGAAAACCCGCAGCUCAACUGUGGGCUUGCAGCCGAUACGGGCGGGCUGGGAUUCGGUAGGGGAGACUGGAAUUCCUGGGUGUAGCGGUGAAAAUGCGCAGAUAUCAGGAGGAACACCGGUGGCGAAGGGCGGGGUCUCUG